rnacentral:rRNA from 1 species
CACGUAGGGUGCGAGCGUUGUCCGGAAUUAUUGGGCGUAAAGAGCUCGUAGGCGGUGUGUCGCGUCGGCCGUGAAAACCUGCAGCUUAACUGUGGGCUUGCGGUCGAUACGGGCAUCACUAGAGUAUUGCAGGGGAGACUGGAAUUCCUGGUGUAGCGGUGAAAUGCGCAGAUAUCAGGAGGAACACCGGUGGCGAAGGCGGGUCUCUGGGCAAUAACUGACGCUGAGGAGCGAAAGCGUGGGGAGCGAACAGG